AGAGGCUCGUGGGCCAAGACGUGAGAAGGGCUAGGGUUGUACAUGCGUAGCAUGGACACAUGAAACACAUUAUGGACCCUUAAAAGUUUUGGAGGCAGGGCCAGUCUGUAAGCGACGGUACCAAUUCUGUCUAAGAUCUCAAAUGACCCAAUAAACUAGGGCUUAAUUUCCUCCUAUUGCCAAACUUACUGAUUUUCUUGAAAGGAGUGAUCAUAAGGAACACUCAAUCGCUUUUCUCAAAUUUCAAAUCCCUCAUCCGGGUCCACAUAACUCUUUUGUCU
rnacentral:lncRNA from 1 species